CGUUACGUUUCGCUGUAUAAAAGCACGCGUCACACCCUCCUCUUCCUCCUUCAUCCCGCUUCCUCAGAGAAUGGAGAUGUUUGUCGGAAUGAAUAUCGGAUCACCACGUGGUUCCGCCGCAGUUUCUACUGCAGAGGUCGGAUGAUGCAAAUGAAACUGAAUCAAGAUGCUCCUUGAGAUGGUCCGAGUGAGCCUUCUCUGAGAGAUGUUGCAGCGCCGUCCGUGAGAAGAUGUCUGGCACGUGGGUCCAUGUGGCCUGUAGGACCGGUGGAGCUAGUGCAGGUCUGCUACAGCUCCUGAACAGCAAGUGGAAGUCAAGCCUAAUAUUAACGGCUUGUGGAUUUGUGUUGCAUUGUUUCUUUGGAUUCAUAAAAUAAAGAUGCUUGUUAACCACAUCCUACCAGAGUU